rnacentral:misc_RNA from 1 species
GCUCUCUCUCUCUAUAAUCUUUACAUGCUUAUGUGACGCUUCUUUAAACCAUUUUCAACAUUUGACUACUUAUACAGCUGCAAAAUUCUUGUUUUUUUACAGUUUAUUUCAAUAUAUAUUGCUUAAUCUUUACAAUUCUGAAGUGGGUUUUUGAGCUUUUCUUGUUUUUCUUCUGUUUUCUCAUAUGGGUUUCUCUGGUUUUUGAGUUUUCUUGCUUUUUUACUGAUACCCACUUGAAAUUUUGUCCCCUUUUUGGUGUAAAAGCUACCAGUUCCCACUUUUUGAUUGACUUUUCUCUGUUCCUUCCACACAUAUUUUCAUUUUUCUUUGCUUUGUUCUAGUUUUGUUCCUUUUUCAGCUGCAGAAAGUUGGUAUCUUUUCACUAUUUAUCAUCAAUUUUUGUCUUUCCCGAGUUAUUGACUUGAUAAGAGUAGCAGAAGCUUAAAGAAAAACAAAACUUUUUUUUUUUAAAACCCUAUUGGGGUGUUGAAAUUUUCAAGCUUUAAGCAAAAUGCUGAAGUGUUUUUAUAUAUUCAAAGAUAAAUCGAGGUCUCGUAGGAGAGGGGAAUCAGCACCAGAAUUGAGUAAUGAAAGUAGGAGAAAUGGUAAUUCAGAAGGAAAUAGGGUAACUAGGUCUACAGGUUCAGUUUCAUCUCCUCGAAGUAUACCGGAAAUGUAUAGAGAAAGAGAGCAAAAUUUGAGGGUUUUUACUCUCUCUGAGCUUAAGGAGGCUACAAGGAAUUUCAAUAGAUUGCUAAAGAUUGGGGAAGGUGGUUUUGGGAGUGUGUAU